rnacentral:lncRNA from 10 species
UUAGCUAAUUGUCCUAAUGCUCUCCUUUGCCUUGUCCCCUACCCCCAACUGGCCCAGGUGAGUGUUGUUCCCCUGCCUGUGUCCAUGUGUUCUCAUUGUUCAACUCCCACUUAUGAGUGAUAACAUGUGGUGUUUGGUUUUCUGUUCCUGUUAGUUUGUUGAGGAUGCCUUUUUCUUUUUUUUCUUUUUUUUUUUUUGAGAUGGAGUCUCGCUUUGUCGCCCAGGCUGAAGUGCAGUGGUGUGGUCUCCACUCACUGCAAGCUCUGCCUCCCGGGUUCAAGCCAUUCUCCUGCCUCAGCCUCCCAAGUAGCUGGGACUACAGGCGCCCACCACCAUGCUUAGCUAAGUUUUGGUAGUUUUGGUAGAGACCGUGUUUCACUGUGUUAGCCAGGAUGGUCUUGAUCUCCUGACCUCGUGAUCCGCCUGCCUUGGCCUCCCAAGCCUUUUAUUUUUCUCUUACCUGAUUGCUCUGGCUAGGACUAUGUUGAAUAGGAGCAGUGAAAAUGGGUGUCCUUGUCUUGUGCCAGUUCUCAGGGAGAAUGCUUCUAGCGUUUGCCUGAUCAAUAUGAUAUUUGCUGUGCAUUUGUCCUGGUUGCCCCUUAAUAUUUUUAGGUCUGUUCCUUUGCUGCCUAGUCUGUUGAGGAUUUUGAUCAUGAAAGUAAGCUGGGUUUUACCAAAAGCUUAAUCUGUGUCUGUUGAGAUGAUCAUACAGAUUUUGGUUUUGAUUCUGUUUAUGUGGUGAAUCACAUGUACUGAUUUGCAUAUAUUGAACCAACCUUGCAUCCCAGGAAUAAGCUUACUUGAUUGUGGUGAACUUACUUUUUGAUGUGCUACUGGAUUCAACUUGUUAUUAUUUUUUUGAGGGUUUUGUGUCUAGGUUUAUCUAUUGGCCUGUAGUUUUCUUUUCUUUCUUUUUUUUUUUUUUGUCUCUGCCAGAUUUUGGUAUCAGGAUGAUGAUAACUUCAUAGCUAACAUUCAGAAUCUAUGAGGAACUUACACAAAUCAAAAAGAAGAAAACAAAUAAUCCAAGUAAAAAAU